UACGGAGGGUGCAAGCGUUAUCCGGAUUCACUGGGUUUAAAGGGUGCGUAGGCGGACAGGUAAGUCAGUGGUGAAAUCUCCGAGCUUAACUCGGAAACUGCCGUUGAUACUACUUGUCUUGAAUAUUGUGGAGGUAAGCGGAAUAUGUCAUGUAGCGGUGAAAUGCUUAGAUAUGACAUAGAACACCAAUUGCGAAGGCAGCUUACUACACAAUCAUUGACGCUGAGGCACGAAAGCGUGGGGAUCAAACAGG
rnacentral:rRNA from 1 species